UCUUAUAACCAUCGAAGAACAUAUUGAAUUCAUCUUGGAUGACUUAUCUGAAGAGUACGAUGUCUUCAUUACCUUUGUAACCUCUCGAACUAAUCAUUAUUCGGUAGAAGUUGAGGCACUUCUUUUGGCUCAAGAAGACCGUCUAGAAAAAUAUCGCAACAAUAAUGAUCUUAUUUAUCAAGCUCAUAUUGCUUCUUUCCCUUGCACCAAGUCUUUUCCAACUAAUCAACGCAA
rnacentral:lncRNA from 1 species